rnacentral:rRNA from 1 species
AAGCGAGAAUAUAAAUAUAAGACGAGAAGACCCCAUGGAGCUUUAAACUUAUCACCAUUUACUUUUGUUUAUAUCAUUACAUAUAGUAAAAAUGUUACCUGAUAGUUUUCGGCUGGGGUGACCCUGGAGAAAAAUAAAUCCUCCAGGAUGAACGGAUAUAAAAUCCUUAUCAAAGAGCUACAGCUCUAAGAAUCAAUAUAUUGACAUUAUUUGAUCCAAUUAAUUGAUCAACGAACCAAGUUACCCUGGGGAUAACAGCGCAAUCCAUUUCAAGAGCCCUUAUCGACAAAUGGGUUUACGACCUCGAUGUUGGAUCGGGGUAUCCCAGUGGCGCAGUCGCUACUAAAGGUUCGUUUGUUCAACGAUUAAUAACCCCACGUGAUCU